UACGUAGGGUGCAAGCGUUGUCCGGAAUUAUUGGGCGUAAAGGGCGCGUAGGCGGCCACCGCAAGUCAAUUGUGAAAUCUCCGGGCUUAACUCGGAAAGGUCAACUGAUACUGCGGGGCUAGAGUGCGGAAGGGGCAACUGGAAUUCUCGGUGUAGCGGUGAAAUGCGUAGAUAUCGAGAGGAACACCUGCGGCGAAGGCGGGUUGCUGGGCCGACACUGACGCUGAUGCGCGAAAGCCAGGGGAGCGAACGGG
rnacentral:rRNA from 1 species